rnacentral:rRNA from 1 species
GAAAUUAUGAAUAAUACCCCGUAGUUCUGUGAUACGACAUCGUAUUUCAGAUAAAGUUCCGGCGGUUAGAGAUGGGCAUGCGUGACAUUAGCUAGUUGGUGAGGUAAAGGCUCACCAAGGCUGCGAUGUCUAUGGGGUCUUAAAGGAUGGUCCCACACACUGGUACUGAGACACGGACCAGACUCCUACGGGAGGCAGCAGUGAGGAAUAUUGGGCAAUGGGCGAGAGCCUGACCCAGCCAUGCCGCGUGCAGGAAGACGGCUUUAUGAGUUGUAAACUGCUUUUAUACUGGAAGAACACCUGGGACUUGUCCUGGACUGACGGUACAGUAUGAAUAAGGAUCGGCUAACUCCGUGCCAGCAGCCGCGGUAAUACGGAGGAUUCGAGCGUUAUCCGGAUUUAUUAGGUUUAAAGGGUGCGUAGGCGGAUGAUUAAGUCAGUGGUGAAAUACUAUAGCUCAACUAUAGAACUGCCAUUGAUACUGGUUAUCUUGAGUGUAACUGAGGUAGGCGGAAUGUGUAAUGUAGCGGUGAAAUGCAUAGAUAUUACACAGAACACCGAUUGCGAAGGCAGCUUACUAAAUUACAACUGACGCUGAUGCACGAAAGCGU